rnacentral:rRNA from 1 species
UACGGAGGAUCCAAGCGUUAUCCGGAAUCAUUGGGUUUAAAGGGUCCGUAGGUGGAUGAUUAAGUCAGGGGUGAAAGUCUGCAGCUCAACUGUAGAAUUGCCCUUGAUACUGGUUAUCUUGAAUCAUUGUGAAGUGGUUAGAAUAUGUAGUGUAGCGGUGAAAUGCAUAGAUAUUACAUGGAAUACCAAUUGCGAAGGCAGGUUACUACUAAUAUAUUGACGCUGAUGGACGAAAGCGUGGGUAGCGAACAGG